GUUAUGGGUAUAAAAGUUAGUUGUUGUUUUACCUUCACCAAGUGUCGUCUGGAGUUUGGUACAGGGUGCAAAAGGCACUCAGUGAUCCAAGUCAAGCCUUGGCGACUGGGUCUGAAGUGCUUCAGGGUCCCUGAUAGCUACGAGGAAGCAGACUUGGAGGUAUUCUGUCGGAGUACUGGAGCUCCGUCACAGGAAUUACCGACUGGGGGGAGCAUUUUCUCCAUAGAAGCCAGGGGGAGCAUUCGUCAGUGUUCGCACAGGAAAUCCCAAAAGUGGACAGACAGUUGCCCCCUUUUCUCUGGAACUGUUUGGGACUAUCACCUUGUGGCCGACCGGUCGGUCAGAACUUUACCCGAAUGUCAAUUCCAUUCUACCGAAUGGAUCUAUGCGCUAUUUGGACAUCUUGAGCGCUGAGAUCCGGACUAUUCGGGGAAAUAAGAUUUGUGGAGUUCCUGUGGAUUAUGACUGUUUUUGG